rnacentral:rRNA from 1 species
AGAUGAAUCAAAGAAGGUAAUAAUCCUGUAGUCGAAAACAUAUUCUCUCUUGAGUGGAUCCUGAGUACGACGGAGCACGUGAAAUUCCGUCGGAAUCUAGGAGGACCAUCUCCUAAGGCUAAAUACUCUCUAGUGACCGAUAGUGAACCAGUACCGUGAGGGAAAGGUGAAAAGUACCCCGGAAGGGGAGUGAAAGAGAACUUGAAACCGUGUGCUUACAAGUAGUCAGAGCCCGUUUAUGGGUGAUGGCGUGCCUUUUGUAGAAUGAACCGGCGAGUUACGAUCUGAUGCAAGGUUAAGCAGCGAAUGUGGAGCCGUAGCGAAAGCGAGUCUGAAUAGGGCGUUGAGUAUUUGGUCGUAGACCC